AUUGUGAUUGAUUUCAAAUUCUGAUUUUGAACUAUAGACUUGCUAUUCCAAUAUGUUGUGAUAAAAUGUGAGACAUGUGCUAAUAUGUUCUCUAUAUACUAAAAGUUGAGAUUUAAAAACCCAUUUUAAAUCAUUUUGCUUCCACAUUCCAAACUUUUCAAACAGGAAGACGAAAUGAAAAAAGAAAGAACAGCAGGAACAGGACAGAGACAAAGAGGCAGUGUAAAAUCAGCCAAAACUCAUUACCCCAUAUGAACAAACUAUCCUGAAGAACGUGUGUACACCUAUCAGGCUCUAACACAAUUGUUGAUGUAGAACACAAUAAGUAAAGGACCUUCAAAACGGACUUGAUCUCGGUGUGGUAUCCCCGGAAGUCCUGCAGAAUUAUUUUUAUCUGGAGCAAUAUCCUUUUAUUUCAGAACUAACUCAUUGAUUCCAGGGAUUCAGGGAGAGAUUAUUGGCAGAUCCCAAAUUUUUACAUAGACUAGCUAUAGAAGAAGCUAUAUCAAUUACAACUACUCUCUUAGCACAGUAUGAAAGGCGUAAAGAAAAUUUCUUUGAAGAGCUUGACUAUGUUAUUACGGAUACUGUCAGGGGAUCAGUUGUUGAUUUUUCCACUGUAUGGCUUCCUGCUCCAACCUUGUCUUUCCUUUCAAUUGGAGAUACAAUAGAUACACCGGACAGCAUGGAAGCAUUAAAGGGCUUACUUGGUUCCAUACUUGAUAAUGCAUUUCAAAAGAAUAUUGCUGGGAACGACUGGAAUGUGAAUCAUAGAGUUGCAUCAGUACUUUUCGGCGGUUUGAAGCUUGCCGGUGUUGGAUUUAUUUCCAGUAUUGGCACUGUAGUUGCCUCAAAUAUUUUGUAUGCAAUACGCAAAUUACUGAAUCCAGCACUAGACACCAAACAACGGAUUAAAAGAUCACCAAUACUUAAAACAGUAGUUUUGUAUGAGGGCUUUUUGGGAACUCCAUCAAAUCUCCAGUAUCAGAUGCCAUUUCCUGGUAUUGUCGAUGGUCUUGGUUCAUAACUGUUGCAAUGACGGCAGCUCUUUGGUGGUCCAAUGUCAAAGCUAAGAUUGUUAAUGAUCUGCCGUAUGGCUAAGCCUGAAGAGGUUCUGAUUAUUGAGGAUGAAAAUGGGAAUAUUGUCCAUGAAACUAUGAAGGACAAUGAUGUCCUCGCUCAAUAUAAGGUGUUAAAUCUAUACUUGGCAGAUGCUGAAGAAAUUGAAUAAACAACUGAGUGGCGAGCAUUGGACAUGGAACAACUUAAACACAUUAUGUUGGGCAAUAGGAUCUAUAUCUAGGUCCAUGAUGGAGGAGCAGGAAAACAGAUUUUUGGUGAUGGUGAUUCAUGAUUCGUGAUCUAUUAAAUUUGCGUGAAAUCACAAAAGGAAAAGACAACAAAGCAUUAUUGCAAGUAACAUUGUGUAAACAAAUUUUUGUGUUAAAGUUGCAUCUCCAAUUACAAACUUAUAUAUGUACAGUUUUGGAUGAUAUAUAACUUUUUGGAUAAUUUAGAACUUAAGGAUAGUCCUUUUGGAUGUCUUUGAACUUGCGGUUAGGUUUUGGAUGUUUGAAAUGUAUAUAUUGACAAUUUUUGAAUGUUAUAAUUUAUA